GAACACGGGAGAUAGGUAAAGGAGAGAUAGAAUUAUCAGUGUGAAGACACACGGGAAGACGUGGUUUUAUGAUACCGCUUUUACCUCGAGUUACCAUCGAAUGAGUGUUUUGAGGAGAAGGAGCAGGAGCAGGAGGUGUAGGAUCGAUUUCUGGAGUGGGAGGCUGAGGUGAGAGAAUGUGAGGCGAUGGUGGUGGAGAAGGAGGUGGAGCUGUAGGAGUUGUUGUGGGUCGAAUGAUAGGAGAAGGAGAAAUGAACGGAGUAGAGGAAGCUGUAGAAUGAGUAGAAGGGAAGGAGAAGGGAAAUACCGUUUCAU
rnacentral:lncRNA from 1 species